rnacentral:lncRNA from 1 species
GCGUGCUAUGGCGAAGUCCGUGCGAACACGGACGCCGCCGGGGUCAUUGUGGAGCGGGAUGCCGCCGAGCCGGUAAGGCGCGGCAACGGCCGCGGCUUCCGCCGCCGCCUCCAGGUCGUCCCAAACGACCCCGUAGAACGUUCUUACGAUAUCGAACCUCUUCUUAAUACAGAGCGCCCGCUGAGUGGCCUCCACAGCAUCCGGCGGCACAAUCGUGGAAGCCUGGAGGAAGACCAUCGGCGGCCGCCCCUUACGUAUCCAGUCAUUGUAUUCUGAUUUGAACGCGAUGGUCUGCACCGGCGUGCCGGCGCGAGGCCCGGCGCGCGCGGACGUGCGCAUUUACCAAACUUAGCGGUGCGAAGUGCACGGGAAUUGUCUGAACCAGGUCUAAACCAAUUCUUUAAGACGCCCAUCAGUAAACCAUCUGCACCCAGUUCAGUGACCCCGGGUCUCAGAAUCCUGUAGUCCCCAAAUCACGCCCGUAGCGCCCGCGCAGACUUGCAUAAUGUUCCUCAUAAUACAAAAGGCCGAUGCGAGCAGAGAGAGCCUUCGAAACGGCGCCCCCGAGGAAAAACGACUGGAAUGCAUGCUGUUGCGCGCACCGCAGUGUCACUGCAAAUAUGUAAAAUGCGGCUAAAUGUUCAUCACGUCCAAUAUCGCUCUUGCCGGGGGCCAACGAGCUGAACCUGCCUUCAUCGCGUCCUUAGCAACGCCACAUCGCAUUUUCCUUGCCGCGGCGCCGUAGACACCGCGAUAUACUUAACAAUACUUCUCAGUACAUAGAAGCUAUGUAAACACGAUUCAUGGACGCUAGCGGGCACAGCUGCUUCAAAUCGCUCCCUAACGCAGGUCGCUUCCCGCUGUAGCAACGCCAUAGGCCUCGCUGGCCGCGCCUAAAUGAUUGUCACAUGCUUGCUGCACAAAUACACUUGGCAGAGCUGCAAAUCCCGGCGACGCACCUCGCGCGUUUCUGCGCAUGGCAUUAUUGCGCCGUUGCGCCAGCGAGGACGCGUCUAUCUUCCCUGCAUCGCAUUUGCGACAUCCUUUGGCAUGUCCCUUCUGCAACUCCUGCCACGCAACAUCCUGCACCCAACUCGGCGCAACAGCUGCGCACAUCCGGCGCCACCUCCGGCCCAACCUACUUGCCUGCUGAUCCUGCGUCGCACUUCAAGUCUUGCUUUCUGCUGUUCCGUUCUCGCCCUGCUCUCCACUUUCGCCUGCCUUCUCGCAUGCAGCGCAUCCCGGCGGGCCAACUGCCCGUUGCCCCGCCCUGCGCACAUCGCCCCCUUCCCCCUCCCUCCUUGGAGGGACAACCCCACAGACGUCUUGCACCGUACGGACCCCGGCUUUAAGGUUGCGAUAUUACAAAGAAGGGACAAUCCGACCAAGCAAGGGUGCCCGUGCACCCAGGUCAAGAGGGACCAUCUCCGGCCCGAAAGGAAACCACCCUCCCCCCAGUUGGCUACCGACCUUCCACAACCGUGCAACAGGUCUUCGCGUAAUGCGUGUCUCGGCAGCUGCACAGCGAGUCGAAGCUAAGCCCAAGCCCGCCAAAGCCCCACCAACGUACAGCAAACCGCACUAGCGCACGAGGCGCAAUCAAACCGGCGAGGCGUCAACGCAGGUACACCGGGCACGUAGUCCGGCGACGCCCACGUCGACGCCCCACACCCACAGCGCACACACCAGAGGCACACCGCUCCCACCACCCACGAGCAAAUUAAGGCGAGGGGGGCGGGGAGCCCACAUCAUCAGGCAACACUAGCAGCACACAGUCACCCGCACCCCGCGAGAGGAACGGAUGGUGCGCAGGCACCGUGGCCCAGGCUUUCGGGCGGAGGCCGAGACUGACAUAUGAUUGCAGCCGGCCCCAGAAAUCAGCAAUAACGGACACACUGAUGCGCAUGACUUCCGCCGACGUCAGAGCCCGACGCACACGCAAGCCAGUCAUAAUCACCUGCUGCCGGCCCGAGUCAAGGGCAGACAGCGCAGCCAAACACACUACAUCCCACACCGGCGGCGCCAGCCCAGCAGGCGGCUGCACCAGCCAAAGGUCAGCACGGGAGAAACAGUCAUCAGCCGUGUCAGGAGGGGACCCCAGCAUUGCCACAGCCAUGUUCUCCCGCAGCGCCCGAGCAACAACACAGUCCCAAAAGUAGUGCCGGCGGUCCCCAUCACACAUAUCCCGCCCACACGCCCGGCACAGGGGCAUUGCCACCCCAGCUGCACGCUGGGCGGCAUUUUUGGGGAACGACCAGCACGCAUUGGCCGCCACCCGCCACAACGCUUCCUUGUGAUAAUUUUCCCAUUUUAACGCCCACAAACGGGCCAGAGUGCCGGCAAAGGCGCCGGCAGCCGCAAGCGCGCCGUCCGCAGAAACACCAGCAUCACGCACAUACAACAAAUGUUUAGACCGCAGCGCCGCAACCUGGGGGCCCAGUUGCAUGGCCGUUCCUGCCUUCACGGAGUAGUUCAACAGCAGCAGAGGCGGGCCCCCGUCCAGGACCCAGCCCAGUCCCCGCACCACCUGGGUCAAGGCCCCCGCCGCCGCCUGUCGCACGGCAUCCGCAGGAAGCGGCAUGACCCACGCCCGCCCGCGAGCCAGUCGAGCCGCACGCGCCGCGGCCUCCCAGCCACCUGGGAGCAAGGCCACCGCCGCGGCUAUGCGUUCCGCCGCCGCCAGGGGCGACGCCGGCCCCAGGAGCGGCGACGGCAGGUGCCGCCGAGGUCCCCAUCCAAGCACAGGCCGCCACACGCUCGUCAAGUACAAGUCCAACAUCGCCUCACCAAACCUGGUGCCCCACCCACCCGGGCGGGUGUGGGCAGCACGCACGGCCUCUAACUGGUCAUGCGCCGCCACCAACUGUCCCACAUACACAAGGCCCGGCAGGGCAAAUAAAUCGGCAAACGCCACGUCAAAAGUCUGUGCACCAUCACACAGUGCCGGAUUCGCCCACAACGGCACAUGAUACACCCAGCCCCCAGCCGCGGGCGGCGCCACCAACGUGAUAGGCGGCAAGUGGGCGACCGCCCCCAACAGACGCAAAAACGGUUUGCAUUCAGGCGUAACCAACUUGUCCAAAACACGGGACGGGUCGCACCGCACCAACAGGCGCAGGGGCGUGGCCGCUGGAUGGCGUGCCCGCAGCCAAGCCUCCGCCACCUUCGUCCAUGGCGGCACAAACGCCAGUAACCCACACGCGCCCAGCACACACCGCACCGCCAGUCCAGCUUGCCGCGCCUGCACGUGCAGCUGAAGAGGCAGCAGCCCUACACCACCCAGAGCCGGCGGCACCUGCAUGAUGUCAAGGGACACCCCCACCGGACGAGCAUGGGGUGCGACCGCAUACUUAGCCGGCGACAGCCGCCGAUCAACAACCGCCGCCACCUGGCCUAACAACUUGCCAACCGGCGCCCACGGCGACGGGAAGCCCGCAAACUCCAGAUGGUACAGGACCUUGCUAAGGGCAUAUGCCGAGGCCGCCGCCGCUCGCCCAAACAUCGAAACAGGCAUACGCACAAUCAAGCCAAGCACUCCCACCACCCCGUCAAAAGCCACUGGCGGGGUGGCCGUCUUCCAAUCACCAAAGUGCACCCCGAGCGACUUUGCGGUGUUGACCACACGCCAACCCGGAGGCAGGGGGGGCCCAGCCACAGCUGCUGGCGCCACCCCCAAACCCGCGGAGGUGCCCAACACCAGUAGCUCCACUUUAGACAUGUUAAGCCGCUGCCCCGACGCACACCGAAAAACGUCCAUGUCCGCCAGGAACCCCGGCACAGCCUGCAUGCCCGCGAGAAACGGCGUACAAUCAUCCGCAUAUUGGGACGCCAAAGCCGAGGCCAGACCAGCAAGCACGCCAUGCCCCUUACUGCGCAGCCACGACAACAGGGCUUGCGCAAUGGCGAGGUACAGCAGCGGGGCCAGCGGGCACCCUUGCCGGACUCCUGCCGCCAGCGGCACCCAACCAGACACACGUCCAUUAACCAGCGCCGCCCCACGCGUGUCAGUCAGCAGCCGCGACACCCACGUCAAGAAGCCGGCCCCCACGCCCAUACGUUCAAGGCAGGCGAGGAGAAACGACCGGUCCACCGUAUCAUACGCCUUGUAAAAGUCCAGGAAGGCCGCCACACCAGAAUUCUGUCCCGCCGCUUUCAGCAACCCAGGAGUCAGUUGCAGCAGCAGUACAUUAUCAGCAAUGCGGCGGUCAGACAGGAAGGCAGUUUGCUCAGGGUCUAUGACGCGCCCAAACACAGGUUGCAAGCGCCGACACAGCACACGUGCAAGGGUGCGAUAAUCAGUAUCCGUGAGGGUAAUGGGGCGAUAGUUAGAGGGCUCCAGGGGAUCCCCCGCCUUGUAGAAAAAUGUCCACACACCAUCCAGAAACCCACCAGGGACCCCUGCCCCCUCGCCAACAGCAGUAAACACAUCAGCCAGCACAGGUGAGAAGUCACUUUCAUAGUACUGAUACAACUCCACGGGAAUGCCGUCAGGGCCCGCGGCGCGCCCCGCCGGCGCGGCGGCCAACGCAGCGCGCACCUCCGCGGCGGUGACGGCAAGUUGCCCGAGUUGCGCGGCUUCCUCCGUCGUGCAGCGGCGGCCGUGUUGCUGCAGCGCGGCCAGCACUUGCGCGCGGGCGGCUGGGGCAGGCGGCGGCGCCGCACAGACGUCUUGCCAGUAGGUUGCCAUGACCUGGCCCAUCACGGUUGGGUCCGAGGUAGCGCUGCCAUCGGGGCGUUUGAGCCGGGCUAUGGUACGCGGCCCACCUGACGGGCGCAGCAUGCGGGUCAGCACCGGGCAUGGCUUUUCCCCACCCCGUAACCACUCGUGACGCGUGCGGCGCGCCGCCCCCGCGGCAGCCUGCACCGCGGCGGUGGCGGCGGCACACCGCGCGCGCACCGCCGCCGCUGCGGCCUCCGGCAGCGCCGCACCGACCUCCACUGCGGCCGCGGCGGCAGCAGCAGCCGCGAGCGCACGCGCUUCUUCCUCACUGGCUGCAAUGCGGCGGACGGCCGCCACGCGGCUCAGCCGGGCAGCUGACGCGGCCGCUGCCCGUUUGAGCUGCGGCCACCACGCCAGCAGCUCAGCUGGGGCACCCGGCCGGGCUCCAAGCGCCGCAGUCAGCCAUGUCCGGUAAUCCUUUGUCAGGUCCUUGAAGUCGAGGAACCCCAGGCGAGCUUUGGGCAGGCCUGGAGAAGGUGGCAGGGCCUCCGGCGUCGCUGCCAGCGUCAGCGUCACCAGGCGGUGGUCGGACGGGACACCCGCCUCCACGGCGCAGGCCAGGACCUGGGCCACGAGGCUGCCACUGCAGAGAAUGCGGUCAAGGCGCGACGCGCCGUGCGAAUGAAUGUAAGUACAAACACGCUGGCCAGGCCGGCGCACUCGGAGGACGUCGAUCAGACCAGGGCACGCAGCCGCCAGCGCUGCCGCUGCGGCGGGGUCACCCGGCCGCGGGACACCGCUGGCCGUGUCAAGCGCCACGUCGCUAACAAAGUUGAAGUCAGCAGCUAGCAGGUGAUUGCCCUCACCGCCAACCGCCGACGCCACCCAUUGCUGGGUGAAGGCACGUUGCUCAGGACUUGCCAACGGAUAGUAGGCUGCCGCCAGCGUGAAGUCAUGCCCGCCCCACUGCACGGGGAGACUGACGCCGCGGCCCACCCACGCGCCGUCAGCAACGGAGGGGGCCGCCACGCCACCCGGGAACGUGACGGCACCUUGCUCCAGCAGACAAGUGCGAAUAAGGAUGGCAGUGCCGCCGGAGACACGCUGAUGGGGCGUGGGGGCGGGGGCCCACCAGGCUGUCCACUCACGCACGUGCAGCCGCAGUGCAGCAGCACGCAGGUCAGCGGUCACGAGGUCAAUGUCUUCUGCCCGGACGUGGGUCUCCUGCAGGCAGACCACGUCCAGUUGCUGCCGCUCCCAACAGCGGAGUAGGGCGUGCAGGCGCGGGCAGCCCAGAUGCUGGACCCGGCUCCGCAACCCCCGCACGUUGUGCGACCCUACCCGCAGCGGCCGGGGGCCGGCCGCUUGCUGCCGAGGACGGCGCACUACUGCGGAGCCCCCGGCGGGGCAGCCGAGAUCACCACGGUGGGGGCGGGGGCGCGGGGCGCACCGGCAGGGCCGGCCGCCACCACCGGCGGCGUGCCGCCGCCACCUGCGCCGCCACCAUCCCCAUUGUCAUGGCCGCGGCCGCCGCAGCUGCCGUCGCCGCCGCCGCCACUGCCGCCGCCGUGGCCGCUGCCGCUGCCGCUGCCAGUUCCGCUGCCGCUGCCAUCCGUGGCGGCCGCCGCAGAUGCGGCGGCACCGGCACCAGCGCCGGGCGCCAGCGCCAGAGCCAGAGGGGCGGACGCGGGCGGCAGCGUCACCGCGGCUGCAGCGGCCGCAGGCGCCGCGUCUGUCGCCACUGCCGGGGCGGUGGCCGCGGCGGCGCCACCGGGCGCCAUCGCCGGCCCGGCGGCCGGGGCAGCGGGGGCCUCCGCGGCACCGGGUGCCGCACCACCAGGCGCCGCCGCACCCGCCGCCGCCAGGGCAGCCGCCGCCGCCGCCGCCUCCGCCGCCGCCUCCGCCUCCGCCAGGGCAGCCGCCGCCGCCGCCGCCUCCGCCGCCGCCUCCGCCGCCGCCAGGGCAGCCGCCGCGGAGGCACCUGCAGCCGGCUUGGUCUUGCCCUUGGGCUUGGCCACCGCGCCGGCCGCCGCGCCCGCGGCCGCAGCCUUCUUGGGCUUCUGCUUCUGCUUCUGCUUCCGCGGCGGUAGGGCAGCCGCGUCCAAGGACGCAGCCGCCGGGCCCGCCGCGUCCUCCAUGUCGGCGUCCGAGGUGCCGCCAGCGGUCAUGCCCGCAUCCUCGUCCUCGUCCUCAUCCACCCCGUCCGCCGGCCCCAGGCGCGCCAGGGCGGCGAACGAGUUGCGCACCUCCACCGGCGGCGCUGGCGGCGGCAGCCCCGCUGCCUGAGAGCCGCCAGGAGCCGCCCCGGCGGCAGCCAGUGCCGCCGCCACCUGCGCAGCAGCCUCCGCAGCCGCCGCGGCCGUCGCCUGGGCAGCCUCAGCAGCCUCUGGCGUCAGCCGGGGGCGCUUGCCGCCGCCGUCAGCGUCGCCGUCCGCGGCGUCACCACCACCGGGCGGCGCGCCGCCACCAGCCUCGUCAUCCCCGGCCGCGGCCGCCAGCGCCACGCCGGCAGCGGUCUUGGGCGCCGGCACUGCCGGCACUGCCGCCGCCGGCGGGCCGCGGUUGGCCCGGCCGCCAGCACCCGGGCGACUGGCACCGCCCUUGGGACCCUUGGCCACACGCGCCAGGAUCGCCAGUCGGUCCACGAAGGUGCACCACAGCCGCUUGGGACCCCACCCGAGGCAGAACGUCGGCGUGUCCGCGGGCACCGCUGACUCCGGCGCCAGCUCGAUGUGCACACAGUCACCCUGCUCGACCGCCGUGUGGAAGCGGUAGUCCACGUCCACCUCCACCUGUCGAACCUCCAUGCCGAAUUCCGCCAUCAGUUUGAUCACCAGUGCAGGCUCCCGGCCCAUGCCGGCGAGCAGGCCAGACACCUUCAGCCAGCGGACGUGCUUCCCACCCGCGGCCGGGGCAGCGGUAAACGCAUCCCGCACCUCCCACUGCAGGCUGGGCACGCCGUCGACCGCCAGCGUCUGCAAGCGGCUGUUGGCGUCCAGCCGCUCGAGGAGCGCCGGGCGGGUGGCGCGUGCUAUGGCGAAGUCCGUGCGAACACGGACGCCGCCGGGGUCAUUGUGGAGCGGGAUGCCGCCGAGCCGGUAAGGCGCGGCAACGGCCGCGGCUUCCGCCGCCGCCUCCAGGUCGUCCCAAACGACCCCGUAGAACGUUCUUACGAUAUCGAACCUCUUCUUAAUACAGAGCGCCCGCUGAGUGGCCUCCACAGCAUCCGGCGGCACAAUCGUGGAAGCCUGGAGGAAGACCAUCGGCGGCCGCCCCUUACGUAUCCAGUCAUUGUAUUCUGAUUUGAACGCGAUGGUCUGCACCGGCGUGCCGGCGCGAGGCCCGGCGCGCGCGGACGUGCGCAUUUACCAAACUUAGCGGUGCGAAGUGCACGGGAAUUGUCUGAACCAGGUCUAAACCAAUUCUUU